rnacentral:rRNA from 1 species
ACGAACGCUGGCGGCGUGCUUAACACAUGCAAGUCGAACGGAAAGGCCCUGCUUUUGUGGGGUGCUCGAGUGGCGAACGGGUGAGUAACACGUGAGUAACCUGCCCUUGACUUUGGGAUAACUUCAGGAAACUGGGGCUAAUACCGGAUAGGAGCUCCUGCUGCAUGGUGGGGGUUGGAAAGUUUCGGCGGUUGGGGAUGGACUCGCGGCUUAUCAGCUUGUUGGUGGGGUAGUGGCUUACCAAGGCUUUGACGGGUAGCCGGCCUGAGAGGGUGACCGGACACAUUGGGACAGAGAACAGCCCAAGACCCCGCGGGGGGGCAGAGGGGGGGAAUGUUGCAGAAUGGGGGGAGGCCUGAGACAGAACCGCCGCGUGGGGAAGAAGGGCUUUGGGGUUGUAACCCGCUUUCGCCUGUAAAGAAGGGGGGGUAAGGGUAGGGGAAAAAGAGGCACCGGCUAAAUAGGUG